rnacentral:rRNA from 1 species
UACGGGGGGGGCAAGCGUUGUUCGGAAUUACUGGGCGUAAAGGGUGCGUAGGCGGGUCUUAAGUCAGGGGUGAAAUCCUGGAGCUCAACUCCAGAACUGCCUUUGAUACUGAAGAUCUUGAGUUCGGGAGAGGUGAGUGGAACUGCGAGUGUAGAGGUGAAAUUCGUAGAUAUUCGCAAGAACACCAGUGGCGAAGGCGGCUCACUGGCCCGAUACUGACGCUGCGCAGAAAGCG